GAUGAACGCUGGCGGCGUGCUUAACACAUGCAAGUCGAACGGGAAAUAUUUCAUUGAGACUUCGGUGGAUUUGAUCUAUUUCUAGUGGCGGACGGGUGAGUAACGCGUGGGUAACCUGCCUUAUACAGGGGGAUAACAGUCAGAAAUGGCUGCUAAUACCGCAUAAGCGCACAGAGCUGCAUGGCUCAGUGUGAAAAACUCCGGUGGUAUAAGAUGGACCCGCGUUGGAUUAGCUUGUUGGUGGGGUAACGGCCCACCAAGGCGACGAUCCAUAGCCGGCCUGAGAGGGUGAACGGCCACAUUGGGACUGAGACACGGCCCAGACUCCUACGGGAGGCAGCAGUGGGGAAUAUUGCACAAUGGGGGAAACCCUGAUGCAGCGACGCCGCGUGAAGGAAGAAGUAUCUCGGUAUGUAAACUUCUAUCAGCAGGGAAGAUAGUGACGGUACCUGACUAAGAAGCCCCGGCUAACUACGUGCCAGCAGCCGCGGUAAUACGUAGGGGGCAAGCGUUAUCCGGAUUUACUGGGUGUAAAGGGAGCGUAGACGGUGUGGCAAGUCUGAUGUGAAAGGCAUGGGCUCAACCUGUGGACUGCAUUGGAAACUGUCAUACUUGAGUGCCGGAGGGGUAAGCGGAAUUCCUAGUGUAGCGGUGAAAUGCGUAGAUAUUAGGAGGAACACCAGUGGCGAAGGCGGCUUACUGGACGGUAACUGACGUUGAGGCUCGAAAGCGUGGGGGAGCAAACAGGAUUAGAUACCCUGGUAGUCCACGCCGUAAACGA
rnacentral:rRNA from 1 species